GCCAGGCAUGGUGGUGUGUGCCUGUAAUCCCAGUUACUUGGGAGGCUGAGGUAGGAUAAUUGCUUGAACCCAGGAGGUGGAGGUUGCAGUGAGCCAAGAUUGUGCCACUGCACUUCAGCCUGGGUGAUAGAGCAAGACUCUGUCUCAA
rnacentral:sRNA from 13 species